ACAAAGCCUAAGGAGCCUGAGGCUGUGCACGCUGCCCCAAGCCACAGUCCGGCCUUUCCAAUAAUGCUUACGGAACAAGUAGAGAGGGGCGCUGAAGAGCAGCCAGGCGUCCGACCACAAAGCCGCCCGUGGACCCCGCCCUUUGGGCCAGCAGGACCUCCCCUAAAGGGGAAGGGGGAGAAAAGGAGGAAAACCACUUCCGGGAGACAGCCGCGAAGAGGGCCAAGCACUUCCGCUCGAAUGAAGCACAUCAACCUGUCCUUUGCAGCAUGCGGGUUUCUGGGCAUUUACCACUUGGGGGCAGCAUCGGCACUUUACAGACAUGGCCGAAAGCUCCUGAAGGAUGUCAAGGCCUUUGCAGGGGCUUCUGCAGGAUCCUUGGUUGCUACCGUCCUACUAACAGCACCAGAAAGAAUAGAGGAAUGUAAUGAGUUUACCUACAAGUUUGCCGAAGAAAUCCGAAGGCAGUCUUUUGGGGCACUAACACCUGGCUAUGAUUUCAUGGCCCGAUUGAGAAGCGGAAUGGACUUGAUUCUCCCUGCCAAUGCUCAUGAGCUGGCCCACAACCGACUGCACGUAUCUGUCACCAACACGAAAACCAGACAAAAUUACCUGGUCUCAAAGUUUUCCUCCAGGGAGGACCUUAUUAAGGUUUGUCUAGCGUCACAGCUCACCAUUCUAUCAAGCCACACAUUUGAGGAGGAACGCGGGAGCACCUGGGCAGCUCAGCCAGUUAAGCGACUCUUGAUUUCAGCUCAGCUCAUGAUCUCACGGUUCAUGGGAUCAAGCACUAAGUUGGGCUGUGUGCUGACAGCGCAGAGCCUGCUUGGGAUUCUCUUUUUCCCUCUCUCUUUCCCCCUCCCCUGCUCGCUUUCUCCCUCUCUCUCAAAAUAAAUAAACAUCAAAAAUAGAAGAGGGAUGCUAAGGACAGGCAUGCCUACAGUCUUGUUUGUAGAUGGUUGACAAAUCUCAUGCAAGAUUGCCAUUGUACUUUGGUUUGAUGAUCUGUCGUCAACAUUUUGCAAUUCUUUUUUUUUAACUUUAUUUAUUGAUUUUGAGAGUGUGCAUGUAAGCAGGGGAGGUGGAGAGAGAGAGAGAGAGAGAGAGAGAGAGAGAGAAUCCUAAGCAAGCUCCAUGCUGUCAGCACAGAGCCCAAUGUGGGCCUCAAUCUCACAAACCAUGAGAUCAUGACCUGAGCAGAAAUGAAUAGUUGGAUGUUUAACUGACUGAGACACCCAGGCACCCCGACAUCUUGCAUUUCUUAAUACCUGUGUUUUCAUUUUUCACUGGGCACAAAAAUGACGUCGCUGGUUCGGGCACCCGGCACCAGCCUGGAACAAGAGUGAUAUGGGAUGCGUGUCAGUCCUUUCCUUCUUUCCUGCUAGAGUCUUGGUUUGUGCUGUUCUACUACUCACACCUGACGCCCCAGAUGUUUCCGGGCCACCUGUCAGGAGCCCGUUGCCAUGGGGACUGUUAGAACCUCAGCCCUUGUGCUCGACACGUCCCCAACAACAUGGGCGAAUCCUUGCUUGUCCCACUGAACCCCAUCAAGGGUGCUCAUCUGCAUUCCUGCCGUGGGGUCGGGGAGGUAAAACAGGCAUUUGUGGGGUGUGAGAAGGCCCGAGAAGGCCUGACCGACCAUGCAGGAGGCACAGACCCUGUCCCUUCAGCACUUUUCAGCAGCGAGGAGCCACGAGCCUUGGUAAGAGUUGGGACCACUGCACAGAGAAGCCAGUGCCAACUUCCAGGUUCUCCUGGCUAGCAGCUUCCUGCCCAUUUACGCGGGCCUGAAACCAGUGGAGUACAACGGGCAGAAGUGGGUGGAUGGAGGCCUCACCAACGGCCUUCCCAUCCUCCCUGUCGGCCGGACGGUGACCAUCU